rnacentral:rRNA from 1 species
UACGUAGGGGGCAAGCGUUGUCCGGAAUUAUUGGGCGUAAAGGGCGUGUAGGCGGCGUGUUAAGUCCUGUGGGAAAGGCAGAGGCUCAACCUCUGGAGUUCAUGGGAAACUGGCAGUGCUAGAGGGCAGUAGAGGGGUGUGGAAUUCCCGGUGUAGCGGUGAAAUGCGUAGAUAUCGGGAAGAACACCAGUGGCGAAGGCGACACUCUGGGCUGUACCUGACGCUGAGGCGCGAAAGCUAGGGGAGCAAACGGG